AUACGUAGGGAGCGAGCGUUGUCCGGAUUUACUGGGUGUAAAGGGUGCGCAGGCGGGACUGCAAGUUGGAUGUGAAAUACCGGGGCUCAACCCCGGGGCUGCAUCCAAAACUGUGGUUCUUGAGUGAAGUAGAGGUAGGCGGAAUUCCGAGUGUAGCGGUGAAAUGCGUAGAUAUUCGGAGGAACACCAGUGGCGAAGGCGGCCUACUGGGCUUUAACUGACGCUGAGGCACGAAAGCAUGGGGAGCAAACAGGAUUAGAUACCCUGGUAGUCCAUGCCGUAAACGAUGAUUGCUAGGUGUGGGGGGACUGACCCCUUCCGUGCCGGAGUAAACACAAUAAGCAAUCCACCUGGGGAGUACGACCGCAAGGUUGAA
rnacentral:rRNA from 1 species